rnacentral:rRNA from 1 species
CCUGACUGCUAUCGGGGUGGGUAGCCAUGCGAGUCUGCGUCACGGGCAACGUGACGCGGCGCACGGCUCAGUAAAACAUGCUCAAACUGCCCUACAGACCGGGAUAACCUCUGGAAACGGAGGAUAAUCCCGGAUAGGUAAGAACUCUUGGAAUAGGUUCUUACCGAAAGGGUGCGGUGCUGAUGCCGCAUCGCACCGCUGUAGGAUGUGAGCAUGGCCUAUCAGGUUGAUGGUGAGGUAACGGCUCAUCAUGCCUAAGACGGGUACGGGCCGUGAUAGCGGGAGCCCGGAGAUGGGUUCUGAGACAAGAACCCAGGCCCUACGGGGCGCAGCAGGCGCGAAACUUCUGCAAUGCGCGAAAGCGCGACAGAGUCACCCCGAGUGCCAUCCGCUGAGGAUGGCUUUUGCCCUGUGUAAAAAGCAGGGCGAAUAAGCGGGGGGCAAGUUCUGGUGUCAGCCGCCGCGGUAAUACCAGCCCCGCGAGUGGUCAGGACGAUUAUUAAGCCUAAAGCGUCCGUAGCCGGCCUUGUAAGUUCUCCCUUAAAUGGUAUGGCUCAACCAUACCGUUGGGGAGAAUACUGCAAGGCUAGGGGGCGGGAGAGGCGGGUGGUAGUUGAGGGGUAGUGGCAAAAUACGAUAAUCCCUCAAGGACCACCAGUGGCGGAGGCGACCCGCUAGAACGCGCCCGACGGUGAGGGACGAAAGCUGGGGGAGCAAAAGGGAUUAGAUACCCCUGUAGUCCCGGCUGUAAACGAUGCGGGCUAGGUGUCGCGUGGGCUUUUGA